GAAUAUUGCGCAAUGGGCGAAAGCCUGACGCAGCGACGCCGCGUGGGGGAUGAAGGUUUUCGGAUUGUAAACCCCUUUCGUGAGGAAAGAUAAAGUGGGUAACCACUUAGACGGUACCUCAAGAAGAAGCCACGGCUAACUUCGUGCCAGCAGCCGCGGUAAUACGAAGGUGGCGAGCGUUGUUCGGAUUUACUGGGCGUAAAGGGCGCGUAGGCGGCCACCGCAAGUCGACUGUGAAAUCUGCGGGCUUAACCCGGAAAGGUCAGCCGAUACUGCGGGGCUAGAGUGCAGAAGGGGCAACUGGAAUUCUCGGUGUAGCGGUGAAAUGCGUAGAUAUCGAGAGGAACACCUGCGGCGAAGGCGGGUUGCUGGGCUGACACUGACGCUGAGGCGCGAAAGCUAGGGGAGCGAACGGG
rnacentral:rRNA from 1 species